CAAGUCGAGCGAGAACCAGGGCUUCGGCCCUGGGGACAGCGGCGAACGGGUGAGUAACACGUGGGUAAUCAACCCCCGACACCGGGAUAGCCCAGGGAAACUUGGAUUAAUACCGGAUGCCCCGUCUGGCCUUCGGGCCGGCCGGAAAAGGGUAGCUUCGGCCUCUGGUCGGGGACGAGCCCGCGGCGGAUUAGCUUGUUGGUGAGGUAAAGGCUCACCAAGGCGACGAUCCGUAGCUGGUCUGAGAGGACGAUCAGCCACACUGGGACUGAGACACGGCCCAGACUCCUACGGGAGGCAGCAGUAGGGAAUCUUGCGCAAUGGGCGAAAGCCUGACGCAGCGACGCCGCGUGAGGGAAGAAGGCCUUCGGGUUGUAAACCUCUUUCAGGAGGGACGAAGCCACUCGGGUUAAUAGCCUAGAGGGUGACGGUACCUCCAGAAGAAGCCCCGGCUAACUACGUGCCAGCAGCCGCGGUAAUACGUAGGGGGCAAGCGUUGUCCGGAUUUAUUGGGCGUAAAGAGCGUGUAGGCGGCCAGGCAGGUCCGCUGUGAAAACUCGAGGCUCAACCUCGAGAGGUCGGUGGAAACCGUCUGGCUAGAGUCCGGAAGAGGAGAGUGGAAUUCCCGGUGUAGCGGUGAAAUGCGCAGAUAUCGGGAAGAACACCCGUGGCGAAGGCGGCUCUCUGGGACGGUACUGACGCUGAGACGCGAAAGCGUGGGGAGCGAACAGGAUUAGAUACCCUGGUAGUCCACGCCGUAAACGAUGGGCACUAGGUGUGGCGGGUGUCGACUCCCGCUGUGCC
rnacentral:rRNA from 1 species